UACGAAGGGGGCUAGCGUUGUUCGGAUUUACUGGGCGUAAAGCGCACGUAGGCGGAUCUUUAAGUCAGAGGUGAAAAUCCCGGAGCUCAACUUCGGAACUGCCUUUGAUACUGGGGAUCUCGAGUUCGGGAGAGGUGAGUGGAACUGCGAGUGUAGAGGUGAAAUUCGUAGAUAUUCGCAAGAACACCAGUGGCGAAGGCGGCUCACUGGCCCGAUACUGACGCUGAGGUGCGAAAGCGUGGGGAGCAAACAGG
rnacentral:rRNA from 1 species